rnacentral:lncRNA from 1 species
AAGAAAAAGAAUAUAUAUUUUAUUAAUGAAACAAGCAGGAACCACCAGACAAACAAUUUAACAAGUACAAUCACAAAUAUAAAAUACAACACAUAGAUCACGAGGGACCAAACCAAAACACAUCACAAUGAAACAAAUUAUUACAACAACAAACAUAAGAGAUACAUAAAAUACAUGAAGUGAUAAUAUUAUUCAAGGAGUACUCCAACUAGUUGUAGAAGGUGAAUGAGAGAUCAUUAGUAGGCAUAUAAGGGAUUGUUGUUAUUAACCAAGGCAAAGUUUGCUUUAGAAAGUGAGUGAGAAUUGUAAAGAGUUGGCUAUGGGAAUUAUUUUGGCGAUGGUGGUACAUUAAACCCGAAUGGCAAUGGAGGUACAUUGAAACCGGUAGGCAAUGGAGGUAUGUUAAACCAGGUUGGCAAUGGAGGAACAUUAAACCCGGUUGGCAAUGGUGGUACAUUGAACCCGGUUGGCAAUGGUGGUACAUUAAACCCGGUAGGCAAUGGAGGAACAUUAAACCCGGUAGGCAAUGGUGGUACAUUAAACCCGGUUGGCAAUGGUGGUACAUUAAACCCGGUAGGCAAUGGAGGAACAUUGAACCCGGUUGGCAAUGGCGGUACGUUAAAACCGAAUGGGAAUUGUUGGAGAC